rnacentral:rRNA from 1 species
UACAGGGGGUGCAAACGUUGCUCGGAAUCAUUGGGCGUAAAGCGCACGUAGGCGGUCUGUUAUGUCGGAUGUGAAAGCCCUUGGCUCAACUGAGGAAGUGCAUCCGAAACUGGCAGGCUAGAGUACUAAAGAGGGUCGCGGAAUUCCCGGUGUAGAGGUGAAAUUCGUAGAUAUCAGGAAGAACACCUAUGGCGAAGGCAGCUCUCUGGGACGGUACUGACGCUGAGACGCGAAAGCGUGGGGAGCGAACAGA